rnacentral:rRNA from 1 species
AUCAGUAAGCGGAGGAAAAGAAACUAACAAGGAUUCCCUUAGUAGCGGCGAGCGAACAGGGAAGAGCUCAGCACCGAACCUCGCGCCCGGCAAAGCGGACGCAGAGGAAUGUGGUGUUUGGGAGAACCGUGCGUGUCUGUCCGGUAUAUUCAUCCAAGUCUCCAUGAACGGGGCGAGCAACCCACAGAGGGUGUCAGGCCCGUAGACCAGAUGAGCCGAGACCGUACAUCGGGUUCCUUCCUAAGAGUCGGGUUGCUUGAGCGUGCAGCCCUAAGCGGGAGGUAAACUCCUUCUAAAGCUAAAUACCGCCACGAGACCGAUAGCGAACAAGUACCGCGAGGGAAAGUUGAAAAGAACUUUGAAGAGAGAGUUCAAUAGUGCGUGAAACCGUUCAGGGGGUUAAACGGGUGGGCCCUCGAAGGUCGAACGUGCGUCCGCUCCCGGCACCUUGUAGCAUGCCCUUUGGACUGGCGAGGCCCGUAAGGGUCUGUACCGUCUGAGGAUCGCAUUAGCCGCGCAAGGGUCCGCUAGUGGGAUGCCUAGUAGGACUCCGCGACCGGUUGGGUGAGUCGUCAUGAGGGGCGUUCGUUAGCCUUUCGUCGAGUUUCGGCUCGAUGGUUGUGCGCGGCGUCUGCGGACGAUCCUGCCCGACCGUGACCUGUCGCCGUGGUGUAAAACCCCGGCCCAGAGCGGAGAGUAGAAGUCGGGUCCCACCCGACCCGUCUUGAAACACGGACCAAGGAGUCUAACAUGUGCGCAAGUCGUCGAGUCUAACUAAACUCGCGAGGCGUAGUGAAAGCAAAGCUCGGCCCCGAUGAGGGUGGCGGCGAGGGGAGAUCCCGUCUCGAAUAGAGCGGGCGCAUCCCCAGGGCGUUCGAUGCCGCGACUUUUAAGCCGGCCGAACGAACCCAGAGCGUACACGUUGGGACCCGAAAGAUGGUGACCUAUGCCUGGCCAGGUCGAAGCCAGGGGAAACCCUGGUGGAGGACCGCAGCGAUUCUGACGUGCAAAUCGANCGUCGGAGUUGGGUAUAGGGGCGAAAGACUAAUCGAACCANCUAGUAGCUGU